rnacentral:rRNA from 1 species
AUGCGAGAUUCAGAGCAUCGACCGUGGACUUUGAUCGUCGUCGAGUUCCGGUCGGACGUGGAUGGCAGCGAAUGGCGCGGGUUCCACUCGCUGCUCCGAGCUCUCACCGGCGCAGGGAGCAAGGUGGUGAUCAUAAGCCGGCUCGAGAGGCUAGCAAGGUUUGGAACCGUGAACCUCGUCCGGAUCAACAGCUUCUCACGAGAGGAAUACGGCUACCUUUUCAAGGUCCUCGCGUUCGGGAGCUCCGACCCGGCGGACCACCCGCGGCUGGCCCUGAUAGGGAAGGAGCUGGCGGCGAUGAUGGAGGGGUCGCUCGUGCAUCUGAACGUCUACUCAAGCAUGCUGAGGAACAACCUGAAUGUCCAGUUCUGGAGCCGCGUUCUGAAGCUGUACAGAACGGUCAUGGAGGCGAACCUGUCCGUCUUCGGUGAGCAUCCGAGAGCUCUUCUUGACAAAGGCAGCACCGUGGACAUCACCAGGUUUUCGCCGUCGGCGGCGGCGGCUGCCCCGCUUCGGUUCAUGUUGCUGAUCGGUGGAAGGGGCUCUUCCGGACCAGGACCAGGUGAGUUCCCCAGGAUGACAUUUGGAGAUAUAAUAUCAGGCUCUGUUGUUCUGCCCAUGAAGUUUGAGCUGGUGUGGGAGUCACGGUUGCCCCCGUACACCGUUAUUUCUGGCACCUGUGUCGCAGAGAAGCCUCAACACUCGGCUUCACCGAGGAAGAAACGCCGUACAUAA